rnacentral:rRNA from 1 species
GAUGAACGCUAGCUACAGGCUUAACACAUGCAAGUCGUGGGGCAUCGGAUGCUUAGCUUGCUAAGUAUGCCGGCGACCGGCGCACGGGUGAGUAACGCGUACCGAACCUGCCCAUCACACAGGGAUAGGCUUGCGAAAGCAAGAUUAAUACCUGAUGGUCUCAAUUUUAUGCAUGUAUGAUUGAGUAAAGCCUUCGGGCGGUGAUGGAUGGCGGUGCGUCCCAUUAGGAAGUUGGCGGGGUAACGGCCCACCAAUCCUUCGAUGGGUAGGGGUUCUGAGAGGAAGGUCCCCCACAUUGGAACUGAGAUACGGUCCAAACUCCUACGGGAGGCAGCAGUGAGGAAUAUUGGUCAAUGGGCGAGAGCCUGAACCAGCCAAGUAGCGUGCGGGAUGAAGGCCCUUGUGGUCGUAAACCGCUUUUAUCAGUGAAUAAAGUGCAUCACGUGUGGUGUCAUUGCAGGUAGCUGAAGAAAAAGGACCGGCUAAUUCCGUGCCAGCAGCCGCGGUAAUACGGAAGGUCCGGGCGUUAUCCGGAAUUAUUGGGUUUAAAGGGAGCGCAGGCGGGAGUGUAAGUCAGCUGUUAAAUAUCAGGGCCCAACUCUGUUAUGCAGUUGAAACUAUAUUUCUUGAGUACGCACAGGGAUGGCGGAAUUCAGGGUGUAGCGGUGAAAUGCUUAGAUAUCCUGAAGAACUCCGAUCGCGAAGGCAGCCAUCCGGAGCGUAACUGACGCUGAGGCUCGAAGGUGCGGGUAUCGAACAGG